rnacentral:rRNA from 1 species
AUUGAACGCUGGCGGCAUGCCUUACACAUGCAAGUCGAACUGCAGCGGGGGAGAAGCUUGCUUUUCCUGCCGGCGAGUGGCGAACGGGUGAGUAAUACAUCGGAACGUGCCCUGUAGUGGGGGAUAACUAGUCGAAAGAUUAGCUAAUACCGCAUACGACCUGAGGGUGAAAGUGGGGGACCGCAAGGCCUCAUGCUAUAGGAGCGGCCGAUGUCUGAUUAGCUAGUUGGUGGGGUAAAGGCCUACCAAGGCGACGAUCAGUAGCUGGUCUGGGAGGACGAUCAGCCACACUGGGACGGAGACACGGCCCAGACUCCUACGGGAGGCAGCAGUGGGGAAUUUUGGACAAUGGGCGAAAGCCUGAUCCAGCAAUGCCGCGUGUGGGAAGUAGGCCUUCGGGUUGUAAAGCACUUUUGUCCGGAAAGAAAUGGAUCUGGUUAAUACCUGGGGUCGAUGACGGUACCGGAAGAAUAAGGACCGGCUAACUACGUGCCAGCCGCCGCGGUAA